CCUGUUAUGUUAUGCGAGAGUAUCUGCUUUUAAAAAUAAUUUACCAAGCUCCAGUUUGCACCUCUCAGGUAUUAUCAUACAUUUGAGUUACAGAGGUAACCAUCAGUUUCUUAAAAAGUCUUAUUAUAAAGUUUUGAUCCGUUUCCCAGGUUGCACUUCUGUUUCAGAAUUAAAAACAAAGAUGGCGGCGGAUGGAUAGUUGCAACUUCAGAAAUGAUGAUUACAAAAAGUCUUCUAGAAUUCUAAAAAUACCAUUAGAUCAGCGCAACAGUAGAGAAACGACAGAACAUAAGGGGAGAGAGAGUUGAGGAAUAACAUCCCCCGCCCUGCAGCGUGCCACACAAUGAGCUUCACUUUGCAUGCUGGUACAGACUGACGGUGUAUUUGUCCUGGAUGGAAAAGAAAAAUCCUUCUCAUCAUCUUCCUCCUACUGCUUUCCCAAAAAGGUCAAGGGGUUGCCACUUAGCCCGGAGGAAAAAAAGCACAUGUGACACUGGAUCCUUGCAGGGCUAAUGGUCAUUACUCGAGCAGACGACCCGCCCUCCCUCCGCCACCCUCAGACCUGCUGCUGGAGGUUCAGAAACCCACUUCCUGGUAUUUCGUCUCAAGGACUUCUCAAACACUGCCCUGGGUGUCCCUCCGGGGAAACAAAACAUGCUAGAGAGAGGAAGGGAAACAGUAGCUUAAUGUGAUCUGAGGACAACAACAACAACAAUGCCUGGAAAGUUUACCUACCGGGCCGUAUUCUGCCCUGAUGUGUUUCCAGUCAUUCAGGAGACCAACAGGUGCCAGGAAAUACGCCUCAGUCACGCUGUAGCAUUCAUUCAGAAAUGUGAUACUGUAAAUGUGUAGGAAAGUGCAUGAUACAUGUGAAACUGAGUAUAUACAUAUAUAUGCAUGUGUGAAUGUUUUAGGCGUUUUAUGUAAAGUGUGUGUGGUUUUUGCUGUGCCCUUACUGUUAAGUCUGUUUGGGGAAAAAUAAGAGACAGAGAGAAAAUGAGACUUUUCUGCAACAUUUCUACUUCAAUUAUUCUUUGAUCUUAUUACAGAGGAAAAGCUGACUAUAUGCUUGGAUGUGUUUUGGUGUUUGCCUCCAUCAUAUAUGUCUGUUAUUAGAGGUUAUAAGUCUCAGUCUCAGGUAGAAAUGUGAUUUUUUUUUUUUAAUAGAGCACAUGGUUUUAAAAAUCUGGAGAGGGUGAGUGAAUCUCUGCUCUCAACCAGCACAGAGAAAGAGCACAAGUGGCACCUAGUGGACUGCAGCAGUGCUGCACCCUGUCUUGAAGAGAGGCUGUUUCAGGCAUGGCUUGCUUUCUCACUUACUGACUUGGUGACCUGAGAAAUAGGUCUAGGGUCUCUUGUUUUACGUCACCUGUUAAGGUUGACCUUUAUUCUUGUUCAGGACAGUUGUAAAGUACUUUGAAACAAUGCUUCUAUAUAAAUAAAGUUAGAAUGAUAGUCAAC